rnacentral:rRNA from 1 species
ACAAGCAGCGGAGCGUGUGGUUUAAUUCGUUGCUACACGAAGAACCUUACCUGGGUUUGACAUAUAGGUUGUAGGGAACUGAAAGGGACCGACCUUCGGGAGCCUAUACAGGUGUUGCAUGGCUGUCGUCAGCUCGUGUCGUGAGAUGUUCGGUUAAGUCCGCUAACGAGCGCAACCCUCGUCGUAUGUUAUAUGUGUCAUACGAGACUGCCGGUAAAAGCCGGAGGAAGGUGAGGAUGAUGUCAAGUCAGCAUGACCUUUAUAUCCAGGGCUACACACACGCUACAAUGGUCUGUACGAUGGGUAGCCAAGCCGCGAGGCGGAGCCAAUCCUGAAAGCAGGCCUCAGUUCAGAUUGCAGUCUGCAACUCGACUACAUGAAGCCGGAGUUGCUAGUAACCGCAGGUCAGCUAUACUGCGGUGAAUACGUUCCCGGGGCUU